rnacentral:rRNA from 1 species
UACGUAGGGGGCAAGCGUUGUCCGGAUUUAUUGGGCGUAAAGAGCGUGUAGGCGGCCAAGCAGGUCAGCUGUGAAAACUCGAGGCUCAACCUCGAGACGUCGGUUGAAACCGCUUGGCUAGAGUCCGGAAGAGGAGAGUGGAAUUCCCGGUGUAGCGGUGAAAUGCGCAGAUAUCAGGAGGAACACCGGUGGCGAAGGCGGGUCUCUGGGCCGAUAUUGACGCUGAGGUGCGAAAGCGUGGGGAGCAAACAGG